UGUUAAAAAUUUUAUCCAUUUCUAGUGUUAAAAAUUAUUGUAGCUGAUAGAAUAACCAGGUAGUUACACGUGAUAUGUCACGUGUACCUUAUGCUAACGUACAAUGACCAAUUUUUAACAAGUAGAAAUAGAUAGAAUGUUUAACA
rfam:Gossypium raimondii Chr10_contig_1383, whole genome shotgun sequence.